rnacentral:rRNA from 1 species
GAUGAACGCUGGCGGCGUGCCUAAUACAUGCCAGUCGAACGCUGAAGGAGGAGCUUGCUCUUCUGGAUGAGUUGCGAACGGGUGAGUAACGCGUAGGUAACCUGCCUGGUAGCGGGGGAUAACUAUUGGAAACGAUAGCUAAUACCGCAUGACAACAGUUAUUGCAUGAUAACUGUUUAAAAGGGGCAACUGCUCCACUACCAGAUGGACCUGCGUUGUAUUAGCUAGUUGGUGAGGUAACGGCUCACCAAGGCGACGAUACAUAGCCGACCUGAGAGGGUGAUCGGCCACACUGGGACUGAGACACGGCCCAGACUCCUACGGGAGGCAGCAGUAGGGAAUCUUCGGCAAUGGACGGAAGUCUGACCGAGCAACGCCGUGUGAGUGAAGAAGGGUUUCGGAUCGUAAAGCUCUGUUGUAAGAGAAGAACGAGGGUGAGAGUGGAAAGUUCACACUGUGACGGUAGCUUACCAGAAAGGGACGGCUAACUACGUG